GUGGCACUUAGGAAAUUUCUUGCUGGACACAACGCGUCCAGUGGUUGUUAAAGUGUUUUAAUUAUUGCAAUCUCGAGGUCGUAAAGUCAAUAACAGGUCAAAAAGUUACAACUAGAAGAAAACAACCACCACCGAGUUUGGACUAUAAAUUAGCAUGUUUUGUGAGUGCUUUUGAAGUGCACUAGAGACUGAGUAGUCAUGGCUUGUAAGAGUUCCUCCCUUGUCUGUGUGAUUCUGUUUCUCUGUGUGUUGAGCUUUUCUGUCAACUCAAACAUAGCAUUUGCAAGGAACAUUAACAAUGGUGCUGCUUCUCCAAUUUAUGCAGCUGCAUAUGAAACGAGUUCGAGUACAGAUCGGGGCGCAGAUGGCGCACGUGGCCACAAUUUUCAUCCAAAAUACUUGAGUCCGACUCAAUGAUCAGAGAUGACCAUAUAUAAAGUUUCUAAAUUUUGUUAUUGAUGUUUUGUGCAAUAAACAUUGGACUCAAUAUGCUUAUCAUGAGCAUGUGUAUGUAUAAGAUUCAACAUUCAUUUGUUUAGUGUCGUUCAUGUAUUACGUUUGCAAUACUUUGUAUAAUAAUUGAUUUUGAAGAA